rnacentral:rRNA from 1 species
UACCAGCACCCCGAGUGGUCGGGACGUUUUAUUGGGCCUAAAGCAUCCGUAGCCGGUUCUACAAGUCUUCCGUUAAAUCCAACUGCUUAACAGGUGGGCUGCGGAAGAUACUAUAGAGCUAGGAGGCGGGAGAGGCAAGCGGUACUCGAUGGGUAGGGGUAAAAUCCGUUGAUCCAUUGAAGACCACCAGUGGCGAAGGCGGCUUGCCAGAACGCGCUCGGACGGUGAGGGAUGAAAGCUGGGGAGCAAACCGG